rnacentral:pre_miRNA from 1 species
AGUUUUCCGAAUAUGUGCUGAGAUUUCGUCAGACACCAACACAUUAGAGUUGAUCAGACUUCUAAGAUAAGUGAAGUU